rnacentral:rRNA from 1 species
UGGGGAAUAUUGCACAAUGGGCGCAAGCCUGAUGCAGCCAUGCCGCGUGUAUGAAGAAGGCCUUCGGGUUGUAAAGUACUUUCAGCGGGGAGGAAGGCGAUAAGGUUAAUAACCUUGUCGAUUGACGUUACCCGCAGAAGAAGCACCGGCUAACUCCGUGCCAGCAGCCGCGGUAAUACGGAGGGUGCAAGCGUUAAUCGGAAUUACUGGGCGUAAAGCGCACGCAGGCGGUUUGUCAAGUCGGAUGGGAAAUCCCCGGGCUCAACCUGGGAACUGCAUUCGAAACUGGCAGGCUAGAGUCUUGUAGAGGGGGGUAGAAUUCCAGGUGUAGCGGUGAAAUGCGUAGAGAUCUGGAGGAAUACCGGUGGCGAAGGCGGCCCCCUGGACAAAGACUGACGCUCAGGUGCGAAAGCGUGGGGAGCAAACA